GCGUAAAGGGUAAUAGGUGGUGGAAAACGCGUAAAAUUAAAGACUUGGUGAAAGCCAUUUAAGUUUUUUUGCUGAGUUCACUAGAAUUUGAAGACGGUAUGGGUAUUAAUAUGUAGACGUGAAAAGUGAUGAUAUAGCAAGGACGACAUUGGUGAAAACACGUACGAGUAAAGUAUUGACGCUGAGGACGAAGGUAUGGGAAUCAAACUGGAUUAGAGACCCAGGUAGUCCAUACAGUCAAGCUGCAUAUUCAAUAUUAGAAGCUUGCUUAACCGGCGGAACUUUUGUGUUCAAGCUAACGCGUUAAAUAUGCCGCCUGGGUACAAGGCCGCAAGGUUACAACUCUAAAGAAUUGAGGAAACUUGUACAAGG
rnacentral:rRNA from 1 species